GGGCUAAGGGGGCUCGGGGCGGUGGUUGAAGAGCAUCCGUUUCAGUCGCGCCAUUAUGUAAUUGAUCUGGGCUUUCCGUACGCGAUGAUCGUGUAAUGCGUUCCACGUACUCGACGCGCGCGAUUCCGCAUACAUCUUCUCUUCUUUUUUCUCUCCUUCUUCCCUCUCUCUCAUUCUCUUUUCCUCUACUGCUAUCCGAAAGCCCUCGGAGGCAGAAGAACGUUGCAGUCCGUUGCAUCACGCGGAUAGAUUAAAAGGAACGCACUGGCAAAGGUGAGAGUCGGUGGACAGUCAAAGUCGAUACUCGUUUUCGUAUCAAUGGUGCUCUUCGACUGGAUCGCGCUCCUCCGAACCGUCGAUAAUUUUCCUAAAGAGAGAGAUUUUUCGUUCCCGGCUCACUCCACGUUGAUGCAUCCAGUCAAGAUCGAAAUGAUUUCACAAGAGUGGCGGAUUGAUGACGAACGUUGAUUACGAAGAUUGGCCGGUGUCGAUGCGAUUAUCAUAAAUAAACUGUGGAUGUUUACGUAUCUAUGGGAAGUUUAACAGAGUAAGAAGAUGUCACGGGCAUGUAAGUGCGUUAAAUGGAUAAAUAGUUGGCAUACUAUUAUUGUGGAUUACAUUUUUCACAUUUUAACUUAAUUAGUAAUUGUUUCAAUUAAAUUGUUUCAAUUAAUCAACAUAGUAAACAUCAUAUAUACACAUAAUGUCAAUAUUUUACUACAGUCUACAAUUCAUACAAUUAAUCAAAUCGAUACACUAAAAAGCAAUCAGACAAAUAACUGUAUCUUCAAGUAGUAUUCUAAAAAAUUCAGGAUUUAUAUAAUUUACACGUACGAAUAUAAAUCACGUUGUUUAUGGCCGAGGAAACGUACAUGUAAUUCGAUUCCACGUAACAAAAAUAGCCAGUCUUGUAUUUACCCUAAUACAGGCGUUGUUGGGACUCGCGAUUCAUUACAAUUAACGAAAACCGUGGUAUGCCAAUACGAUGAUGGACUCAAUUAGAAAAUGGCGUGGUUGGGGGUGGUUGUGUACAUCGAAUGCGCUCUUCCUUCUUCGUCUGUGGUUCAUCGACGAACGCGCGCAGGCAUCGCUGGUAGAUAUUUAAUUAAAGUUGUUUGCGCGACCAAGUUUGGAAACUUUGGGAAUAAGUUACCGGCGGGAAUCAGCGAAGGGGCCAUUUAAUUGUCCUCGCGUUUAAUGCGCCGAAUGGCCCGGGAGUUAUACUCGUCAUCAUGUCACCGGAAGUCACCGGAUGGGUGGGCUGAGUAGUAAACGCGUCAACGGGCAAGAAAAGAACCACACGAGCGUGUUGCGAUUUUCGUGAAAAGUAUCUCGUCCUUAACCCAUUUGCACCGGUUUCUUUUAUAUCGUUGCGUUGGCAAGGUGCUACACGCGAAACGUUAAUUUACUCUGUCGCAUACACAUAUAUACAUGUAUAUAUGUAAAUAUAUAGAUAUACUUUUAUCGCAAUUACACAGAGAAAAAUUUUGUACGUCACGCUUUUCAUGUUCCUCGAAGUUGACGGUGACAUCACAAUGCGACCCUCUUGCGUUUUAUUUUUAAUUUGCGCCGAUAUCGAAGCCAAAUCCGUGCGUCCGUCGCCGUUGUUUUAUGCCGCUCGUAAUUAUACGAAGACACGCUGCAUGCUUCUAUUCAAAUCGUUGAUUUUAAACGACAGAAUCGAUACCGAUGUAUUAAUAUAAUGGACGUUGGCCGAGGUAGAGUAAGCCUUUCCUUUCUUGUUCUACCGAUUUGUAGAAGUAUGCACUCGCGAAAUCGGUGAGUCGCGAUUUAAUUGAUGCUGCUCGCGAAUUAAUUACGCGUUAGUAGUCGAGAAAAUUCCUGCAUCUCGGAUUAAGUUGAACGCUUUGAAGCGUGUCUGCGAUUACGUAGAUUACCGUCGUCCUCGAUGAGGAUAGAAUUCGUUUCUUUCAAGUCGCUCCAUUUCACGCGCUAAUAGGUUCGCGGUGUUUCGCGCACUCGUGUUACGCGACGUCGCGUUUACAGACGCGAUUCACUUAAAAACCAAGCUCUGUCGUCAGCGGAUUUCAUUUUCUUUCUUUUUCUCUUCUGUCUCUUUCCUCCCCCGUCUUUUUUUUUUUUUUUUUAUUUCACCGCGAAGCGACUCGAUUAUACCAACCGACUAAAGCUUGAUAUCAAAAGCAUUAUAGAUUCAGACGUAUCCAAGUAAGCGCGAGCGAAGACGAGAAAAAACGGAAAAAAGGAAAUUUCGCGACCUAGCUGAAAUAUCCCUUUAGAAUAUCAGCGGGUGAAAAUCUUUUUUCUUGAGUUAUAAAGAAGCUCGGCGACGCGUCCUUCCUGAAAUAAAAUAACCGAUAAGUGAUCCGGUGUCGGUGUGGACAGAGCCUUAACGUGAGAAACGAGAGGCCAAGUGAUCGCAUAAACGUAUUCGUGUCAAAAGCAGCUCCGGUCGAGACCCGAGUUAUCCUCUGACCCCACUCUGUCAUCUCGAACUUACCUCGCCUCCUCUUCGUAUCACCAAACCGUUAUUUUCGGCCAGGUUUCCCCAUUUUCUUCCCGAUAUUCUUCCGGACAAAUGAUUCGAAUGCUUUACAUAUACAUUUUAAAAGAAACAUAUGUAUCUACUAGCUGAGAAUAAAGCGUUUCUAUGCAAGACAGAAGUAAUAUAGAAUUUUAUUUUUCAUAUCUACAACUUUUUAGAGAUAUAGAAAGUAAAUUCAGUUCGAAUAUAGUUGAUGAUAUAUAAUUACAUCGUUUAAUAUGAUUAUAUCUUUUUAAUAAAACGAGGAUGACGGAAAAUAUCAACUCUUUUCGAACAUUUUCUUUCGUUCUGAUUUUUCUCCGCUUACCUUUUAAAACAAUAUCUUGACAAAAUUUUAAUUUGAUUUCCAAAUUCGGUGAUAAUCACCGGAAUUCAUUUCGAUUUCAAAAGAUUACAAUAAUUGAUAAGCGUUUGUCAAUGAGGAUCUUGAAAUCUUGAAAUAGAAUUACUUAAAACAUAUAAAUAAAUUUACUUUCCAAAAUUCUAUGCUACGGAUUUAAUAUAACAUUUCUGCACUAGCCAUUUCUAAAUGACCAUUUACAAAAUAAUUUCAAUAUAAUAUACAUGUAAACAACAAUCACGCAAAUUUCUUCCCUUUUAAAAUGUUGUUCGCCUAUCCUAUUCUUAGCAUAACAUUUCCUCUCUAUCAAAGGUAAAAAUUCGCGUUUUUCCAUUUAAAAUAGAGAAACGUUUAAUAAAAUACCGCGACGGUUGGUGCACGGCAUUCUUUAGUAUCGAAUGCUUACGUAAUAAUACGUGGUCGCGUUGGCGCGUAUACUCCUACGAACCGUGCGCGUUCUAUAUCCACGGAAAUUCUCGAGCGCGGUGCAUCGGUGCACUUUAAAGCUCGCGGUUGUAUAUUUCCUCCCGUGCACCGAACACCUCGCACUUGAGCCUUGUCACAAUAAAACAUCGGUCGCGCUUCCGCGGCGUUGCUCGCUCACUGUCGCGAAACAAAAAUGUUUCGCCGCGGAACGUCGUGCAAUUAAGGACACAGAAUCCCUUGCCGAUAAACUUUGUAACGUAAGCCCUGACUAAGUUUAAUCGUUUAGUACGUAUCGCUUUUACGCUUGGAAAAAAUUAAACAGCUGUUCUAUUUAAAUGAUACAUUUAGAUGUUGAUGUUCGGAUUUUUUUAUAUAAAAAAUCAAAUCAGAUUGUGACAUAGUAAUUUUGCAGAUAGGUAUAAGAAUAGUUAUGAAGAAUAUGUCUAGCUGAAUGAAAAUUUGCUGGCUAUCGUAAAUUCACGAUAAAUCCAGACUCGACGCGAAACCUCUUAAGGACUUCGUAGCAGGGUUAUAUAUCAAUCACAGAGAAAGCUAAUAGGGGAAUGGAGCAAGGCAACAUCCUCACGUGAGAAAUUCAUGGAAAACGUGGUAUCUUUCGCGCGUGCCGCGUGAACACGUGCAUUCUCAAAAUAGAACGCAAAUAUUGUUGACGUGAAAUGGGAAUUAAUAGAGAGGAUCCGAAAUACUGAAAAGACAAAUACAGAUGUGGCAUAUCUACUGUUCUGCAUGCAAACAGUCAUAUUGACAAUAAGCCUCCGAUAAGCGAAGCAUUUGCGUGCAUGCAUACGUUCAAUCAUUGAUGAUUGCUACAAGAGCAAACGAAUGUAAUAACGAUUUUACGUAAUAAUCAGCCUGAUAGGAUGCAUUCGUUUCUGUCAUACCUAUCAUAAAAAUUGCUGGUUGAAAUCCUAUUAUUGGAUAUGAUCGUUUACGACCUUGUGUAUGAAUUCACGUGCGUAGGAUGCUUGGCCAGUCAGUGAAACAACUACACAUUCUCGGGGAUCAGUAGAAGUUUUCUGUAAUGAACAGACUCUACUGUUCACAGGACGGCACAUGUAUUUCUUUGACUUGAUAGACGACACACUCUUUUUAUUUUUUUUAUUAUCGAAUAAUUGUUUAAUUUACCAUUCAUUUACAUAUUUUUAAUUGAAUUUUAAAAAAGUUGGUAAAAUAUUAAAAAGUAUUAUAAAAAGGGAAUAGAAUUAUGCUUUGUGGUAUUGUAAAAGAUAUUAAUAUUCGAUUAAUUAAUAUAAAAGUUGAAAUAUAAGAAUAAUAAAUUAUAUUGGUACGUUUA